rnacentral:rRNA from 1 species
GACCUCGGAUCAGGUAGGGAUACCCGCUGAACUUAAGCAUAUCAAUAAGCGGAGGAAAAGAAACCAACAGGGAUUGCCUUAGUAACGGCGAGUGAAGCGGCAACAGCUCAAAUUUGAAAUCUGACUUUACGGUCCGAGUUGUAAUUUGUAGAGGAUGUUUCGAACGUGGUCCGGUCUAAGUUCCUUGGAACAGGACGUCACAGAGGGUGAGAAUCCCGUAUGCGACUGGGUGCCUAAGUUUAUGUGAAGCUCCUUCGACGAGUCGAGUUGUUUGGGAAUGCAGCUCAAAAUGGGUGGUAAAUUUCAUCUAAAGCUAAAUAUUGGCCAGAGACCGAUAGCGCACAAGUAGAGUGAUCGAAAGAUGAAAAGCACUUUGGAAAGAGAGUUAAACAGUACGUGAAAUUGUUGAAAGGGAAGCGC